GCCUACUGUACAUAUAACAGAUAUCCUAAUCUCGCAUAUGUCACUGUCUAUUUUAUUAUCAUGCUUUUAAUAUCGAACAUAUAUCUGUAAGUUUUCGAGAUCUUUCUACGAAGUGACAUUGAUGACAUUAGAAGCAUUAAUCAAUUUCUGUUAUUUACAAUGGAAUCUUCGCUAGAAACAAUGCAUUUUUGUAUCUACGUAACAUAUACCAGUAGUGAACAACUAUCGUGCAAUUCUAGUAUAAGGCGAAAAUAAUAGAUCGGUACUAAUUUGCAAAUCAGAGAUCCAGCAUCAAAUGUCAGGAGAAUAUCCAUUUACAAAACACGAGAAUCUUUUAAGCGAGAGUUCACUGUAAUCUCCGCUAAUAGAAUCUUGUGAUGUGUAAUAGAAUCAUCAACGUUUAUUCAUUAACAUAUAAUGUCUCCUGAAGUAAUAAUGAUUUCAUAUUGUUCAUCUGUUAGAAGACGGAGUAAACAUUUGUAUUGUUAUUCAGUUAAUGGAUACAUCAGUGAAGACACUGCUUUAUUAUAUCAUACCCAAAUGCAACAUAUUGUAUAUUAUUGCAUUACAAUAAAAAGUCUAAUAAUUUAUUGUUCUCAACGAAUUUAUCAAUUCUACAGUUAUGCUGCAGUAUACAUAA